rnacentral:lncRNA from 1 species
UGAAAUAUGGUUGCUUUUGUGGCUUGGGAGGCCAUGGCCAGCCCCGCGAUGCCAUUGACUGGUGCUGCCAUGGCCACGACUGUUGUUACACUCGAGCUGAGGAGGCCGGCUGCAGCCCCAAGACAGAGCGCUACUCCUGGCAGUGCGUCAAUCAGAGCGUCCUGUGCGAGAUGGGGUUUCGCUAUGAUGCCCUGGCUAGUCUUCA